ensembl:lncRNA
CCCCCCCCCAAUUUCCUACCAAACCCCCCCAAAAUUGACCAAUUCUGCCCCAUUUACUCAGCGCUGUGUUGGAGCUGUAGGAACUUCAACAACCACCAUUGGGGUAAGCAGCACCGAUCCUCAUUAACCGCCGGCCUUAAUUACGCCUCACUGCCUUUCUAAUUAACACCAAUCUCUCUCAUUUUCAUAUAUCCCCCCCCCUUUCCCCCCCGUACCCCAAAUUUGACCAUUUUCCCCCCUUUUCACCCCAAAACAGCUCAGUGCUGUGGGAGCAUUUCCCAAAGCCCCCCUCCUUCCCCCCCCCCCCCAUUCAUCCUAUGCUUUUGGGGUCCCCCCCCCUCAAUUCAGUCCUAUGCUUUUGGGUCCCCCCCUCAAUUCAGUCCUAUGCUUUGGGGUCUCCCCCUCAAUUCAGUCCUAUGCUUUUGGGGUCCCCCCCUCAAUUCAGUCCUAUUGCUUUUGGUCCCCCCCUCAAUUCAGUCCUAUGCUUUUGGGGUCCCCCCCCCAUUCAGUCCUAUGCUUUUGGGGUUCCCCCCCUCAAUUCAGUCCUAUGCUUUUGGGGUCUCCCCUCAAUUCAGUCCUAUGCUUUUGGGUCCCCCCCCCAUUCAGUCCUAUGCUUUUGGGUUCCCCCCUCAAUUCAGUCCUAUGCUUUUGGGGUCCCUCCCAUUCAGUCCUAUGCUGUUGGUGUCCCCCCCCCAUUCAGACCUAUGCUUUUGGGGUCCCUCCCAUUCAGUCCUAUGCUGUUGGGGUCCCCCCCCCAUUCAGUCCUAUGCUUUUGGGGUCCCCCCCCGCCCCCACUCUUUGGCUUUUCUGCUUUGGGAUGGGGCAAAAUGGGGGCAGAAAAAGGCAAAAAUGGUGAUUUUUUUUUAUUGGGGGGGGGGUGGUUAAUUUUUGGGCUAAAAAGGAGUGAAAAAGGCUUAAAAUAAAUGGGGGGGGGGUUCCAAACUGACCCCCCCCCCUCCUCGGAUAGGGCUUUUAUUUGGGGGGGGUCUUUAUUCCAUCCCCCCCCCCAUAUAAAUGGGGGUCAAUCAAACGGGGCUCAUCAAAAUAGGGGAAAACCCCCCCAUUUUUUCCCAUUUUAGGGCAUUUUUCACAUAGAAAACGCCCCCCCCCCCCCCAAACAACCCCCAAUUUUGGCCUCUCUGCCCCAUCUUUUUUGGGGGGGGGGCAACCAAAAAGUGAGGGGGGGGCACCCCAACAUCCCCCCUUGAGAUCCAUAGGGUCAGAAAAGCCUUUUUUGGGGUGAAACCCCUCCAUUUUGGGGGGGCUCUUCAGCCCCCCCCCCCCCCCCCUAUUUCUCAGGCUCUGUGCUCUCAUUAACUUCCUGUGUUGUCUUUGCAGAGGGGCCGGCGGAGGACUCUGUAUCCUUUCUUAAUUAACGGCGAGGCUUAACGAGCUCAUUAAGCACCUCGUUAAGGUUAUGAGGAGUAAAAGCUGCAUUUUGGGGGGGGGGAAUCCAACCCCCCCCCCCCCCCAAAAAUGGGUCUUUUUUAGGGUUUCCCCCCUCCAAACCGUCAUUGAAAUUCCUUUGUUGGCUUCGUUAGCGCUAACGAGGCGGCGGUGUGAUUAGCAGGCUUGUAAUUAGCGCUAAUUAAGAGGUUGCGUGUGUGCGUUGAGGUCAGGGUGGGGUCGUUAAUGCUCCCUCUCCCCUCCCUUAAUUGGGGUGCGUUAAUUAAGGGGACCCCCCUCCUCCCCCCCAUGCUUCUGUUGGGAGGUGGUUGUUGUUAAUGAGCGUUAAUUGGUUGGGUUAAUUACAGCCUGGGUGGGCUCUGUGCUGGGGGGGGGGGGAUUUGGGGUGAAAUGACCCCCAAUUGGGGCAAAAUGACCCCCAAAUUGGAGUUAAGUGGUGAUUUUGGGGUGAAAUGACCCCAAAUGGGGGCAAAAUGACCCCAAAUUGGGACUGAGUGCUGAUUGGGGUGAAAUGACCCCAAAAUGGGGGCAAAAAUGACCCCAAAUUGGGACUGAGUGUUGAUUUUGGGGUGAAAUGAUCCUAAGUUGGGGCAAAAAGACCCCAAAUUGGGUUGAAAUGACCCCAAAUUGGGCCUAAGUGGUGUUUUUGGGGUGAAAUGAGCCCGAAUUGGGGCAAAAUGACCCCAAAUCGGGACUGAGUGUUGAUUUUAGGAUGAAAUGAUCCUAAAUUGGGGCAAAAAGACCCCAAAUUAGGGCAUAAUGACCCCAAAUUGGGGCAAAAUGACCCCCAAAUUGGGUUGAAGUGACCCCAAAUUGGGACUGAGUGCUGAUUUUGGGGUGAAAUGACCCCAAAUGGGGGCAAAAUGACCCCAAAUUGGGACUGAGUGCUGAUUUUGGGGUGAAAUGACCCCAAAUGGGGGCAAAAUGACCCCAAAUUGGGACUGAGUGCUGAUUUUGGGGUGAAAUGACCGCAAAUGGGGGCAAAAUGACCCCAAAUUGGGACUGAGUACUGAUUUUGGGGUGAAAUGACCCCAAAUUGGUCUAAUUUGGCGUUCAUUUUGUCCCUAAGUGGUGAUUUUGGGGUGAAAUGACCCCAAAUUGGGGCAAAAUGACCCCCGGAUGAGGUUGAGAUGACCUCAAAUGGGGGCAAAAUGACCCCAAAAUUGGGUUGAAAUGGCCCCAAAUUGGGACUGAGUGUUGAUUUUAGGAUGAAAUGAUCCUAAAUUUGGGGCAAAAUGACCCCAAAUUGGAGCUAAGUGGUGAUUUUGGGGUGAAAUGACCCCAAAUUGGGGCAAAAUGACCCCCAUAUGAGGUUGAGAUGACCCCAAAUUGGGACUGAGUGUUGAUUUUGGGGUGAAAUGAUCCUAAGUUGGGGCAAAAAGACCCCAAAUUGGGUUGAAAUGACCCCAAAUUGGGCCUAAGUGGUGUUUUUGGGGUAAAAUGAGCCCGAAUUGGGGCAAAAUGACCCCAAAUUGGGACUGAGUGUUGAUUUUAGGAUGAAAUGAUCCUAAAUUGGGGCAAAAAGACCCCAAAUUAGGGCAUAAUGACCCCAAAUUGGGGCAAAAUGACCCCCAAAUUGGGCUGAAGUGACCCCAAAUUGGGACUGAGUGCUGAUUUUGGGGUGAAAUGACCCCAAAUGGGGGCAAAAUGACCCCAAAUUGGGACUGAGUGUUGAUUUUGGGGUGAAAUGAUCCUAAGUUGGGGCAAAAAGACCCCAAAUUGGGUUGAAAUGACCCCAAAUUGGGCCUAAGUGGUGAUUUUAGGAUGAAAUGACCCCAAACUGGGGCAGAAUGGCCCCAAAUUGGCACUGAGUGUUCAUUUUAGGAUGAAAUGAUCCCAAAUUGGGGCAAAAAGACCCCAAAUUAGGGCAUAAUGACCCCAAAUUGGGGCAAAAUGACCCCCAAAUUGGGUUGAAGUGACCCCAAAUUGGGACUGAGUGCUGAUUUUGGGGUGAAAUGACCCCAAAUGGGGGCAAAAUGAACCCCAAAUUGGGGCUGAGCUCAGUGAAAUCGGGUUAAAAUCCCCCUAAUUUGGGUCUGAAUGGUGUUAAUUGCGUCAUUAAUUACCCGCCGUUCGUUACCCGCCGCUCGCCAAUACCAAACCCGUCGUUUUGGGGUCAAAAGUGGGGAUUUUGGGGUCAUAAGUGGGGAUUUGGGGGCUGAAAAGAAGGAUUUGGGGGUCAACAAUGGGGAUUUUGGGGUCAACAGUGCGGAUUUGGGGUCAGGAAUGGGGAUUUGGGGGCAAAGAAGGGGGAUUUUGGGGUUAAGAAUGGGAUUUGGGGGUCAAGGAUGGAGAUUUUGGGGCAAAGAAUGGGAAUUUGGGGGCAAAGAAUGGGGAUUUUUAGGGCAGGAAAGGGGGAUUUGGGGGCAAAGAAGGGGAUUGGGGGUUAAGAAUGGGAUUUGGGGGUCAAGGAUGGACAUUUGGGGGCAAAGAAUGGGGAUUUGGGGGCAAAGAAUGGGGAUUUGGGGGCAAAGAAUGGGGAUUUGGGGGCAAAGAAUGGGGAUUUUAGGGUUAAGAAUGGGAUUUGGGGGUCAAGGAUGGAGAUUUGGGGGCAAAGAAUGGGGAUUUGGGGGCAAAGAAUGGGGUUUUGGGGAAAGAAUGGGGAUUUUAGGGUUAAGAAUGGGAUUUGGGGGUCAAGGAUGGAGAUUUUGGGGCAAAGAAUGGGAUUUUGGGGUCAGGAAGGGGGAUUUGGGGGUCAAGAAUGGGGAUUUAGGGCCAGAAAGGAGGAUUCUGGGGCUGGAAAAGGGGCUUUUGGGGUCAAAAAUGGGGAUUUUGGGGCCAGGAAGGGGGAAUUGGGGGUCAAAAAUGGGGAUUUUGGGUUAAGAAUGGGGAUUUGGGGGCUGAAAAGGAGGAUUUUAGGGUCAAAAAUGGGGAUUUUAGGUUUGGAAGCAGCCGAUCUUUGCUUAUAAGCUCGCUAUUAUUGAAGGGUGAGGUUUUGGGGGCAAAAAAAUGGGAUUUUGGGGUUCUUGGGAGGGAAAAUGGGCAUUUUUGGGUGUGGGGGGUGGAAUCCGUGCGUAUAAUGACAGUACUUUGGGGUAGAAAAGCUGAGAUUUGGGGUUUUUUUAGGGCCAGAAAUGGGGUUUUUUAGACCUCGAGUCACCAAAUCCGCCCUUAAAUCGCCGCCGUUGGGGUUUUUUGGGUCUAAAACCACCAAUUUUUGCUCUUUUUUGGCUAAAAAAAUGGUGAAGUUUGGGGUUGGGG